UGGCUCUCGCAUCGAUGAAGAACGCAGCGAAAUGCGAUAAGUAAUGUGAAUUGCAGAAUUCAGUGAAUCAUCGAAUCUUUGAACGCACCUUGCGCCCCUUGGUAUUCCGAGGGGCAUGCCCGUUUGAGUGUCUUGAAUUCCUCGCCCCCCUCGGGUUUAGCAGCCUGGGGCCGGGCGGAAGUGGGGGCCUGCUGCGGAGACGCGGCUCCCCUCAAAUCCAUCGGCGCGGUUUGCCGGCGUCACCGUUGGGCGUUGUACUUCCCUCGCCUGCCGCGGUGGACUGUCCGGUCGCGCCCCGACCAGCCUGCAGAGUGGCGGUCAACCUCUGAAAUCUGACCUCAAAUCGGGUAGGACUACCCGCUGA
rnacentral:misc_RNA from 1 species